rnacentral:rRNA from 1 species
AUUGAACGCUGGCGGCAUGCCUUACACAUGCAAGUCGAACGGCAGCACGGGAGCAAUCCUGGUGGCGAGUGGCGAACGGGUGAGUAAUAUAUCGGAACGUGCCCAGUCGUGGGGAUAACGUAGCGAAAGCUACGCUAAUACCGCAUACGAUCUAUGGAUGAAAGCGGGGGAUCGCAAGACCUCGCGCGAUUGGAGCGGCCGAUAUCAGAUUAGGUAGUUGGUGNGGUAAAGGCUCACCAAGCCGACGAUCUGUAGCUGGUCUGAGAGGACGACCAGCCACACUGGGACUGAGACACGGCCCAGACUCCUACGGGAGGCAGCAGUGGGGAAUUUUGGACAAUGGGCGCAAGCCUGAUCCAGCAAUGCCGCGUGCAGGAU